ensembl:lncRNA novel transcript, sense intronic to MYO1E
GCUUCCCUUUAAGUUUUAAUAGGAGUGGCUUUGUUUUAUAGAACGCUGUAGGCAUCUCCAGCCACUGAGGGGACUUCUUCAAGCUUGGCCCAGCCUCAUCCACAGAAGGAUCUGGCAGUGAUAUCUUGGCAUUCAUAGUCUCAGUGUGCAGGACAGCAUUGGUUCCCCACCCUACAGUCCCAGCUCUACCUAGGCAGUAUCAUAUGUAUCAUGGUAAUGGCUAUGGAAAAUAAUAUCCCUCCCUCCCUGCCUCCCUUCCCCUCUUCCUCUUUUUAGAGAUGAGGUCAGGAGUUUGAAACCAGCCUGACCAACAUGGUGAAACCCCAUCUCUACUAAAAAUACAAAAUUGGCCGGGCAUGGUGGCGCAUGCCUGUAAUCCCAGCUGCUCGAGAGGCUGAGGCAGGAGAAUCACUUGAACCUGGGAGCCGGAGGUUGCAGUGAACUGUGAUCGUGCCAUUGCCCUCCAGCUUGGGCAACAGAGUGAGACUCCAUCUCAA